UAAUAGUCCCUCUUGAAAGGAGUCAAUCCUAUUGACUUUUGGCAAAUAAUGGCUCGGCGCGGAAAUUAAUUUGGUACCUAUUUGGUCUGGUGUUAGGUUGUACCGACAGCCAAAAAUAAUUAGGAUCGUCUUGGAUCUGAAAGUACGGUAGCCCAAGGGGCACGUACUGAUGGCUCCAUGAUGUAUGACCAUGGUUGGCGAGAGUCGGCAUGGCCUGUGGACUGUGGAGACCUGUUUGACAUGGGGAAGGAGACAAGUCAUAUCAAUACAUGGUUGCUGGUUCCCAGUUACAAGGAGACUGGUCCAUCUUAUAAAUUAGAUUUCAAUAUGAAACCAGCAGAAGUCCAGUGGCUGCCAACCUCAAAAGGACCAAGCACAAAAUUAUACAAGGGCUUGACAUUGUUCCUUUUGCAUGCUUAAUAAUUUCAUUUUCCCAUUUGUUGCUGUGCAAGCUUUCUCUGAGCUUGCGUCUUCCAGGUUUAUAAACCCUCGGAGUGCGCAUGAGUGCAUUUGCUGCCACUCUGAAACAUCCAUGUUCUUAAAAUUGGGUGGUGGCAACAGUGUCGUGGAUGAAUGGCCAACAGAAAUAAAGGAAGCCUCUGAAGAAGACAAAGAGCAUCUCUGCGUACAUAUGGCAAGACGGGCAUAUUAAUUAUGGGCCUCACGAGAUUCCUUUUGACAUUUAGGUGAUGAGAACUAUGUUGAAUGGUACUUGAGUUUGCCGUAUGCCUUCAAUUUUUGUUCGGCAUCGGCAUAGGAGUUUGCCGUAUGCCUUCAAUUUUUGUUCGGCCUCGGCAUAGGCUGGCAUUCUUGAAUCCUAUUGUGAUGCACAUAUCUGCUGAAAGAAUCUUCCAAAUAGGGCUGACAUUGUUCUGCUGCACACACGGCAUGCAGCUCAUUCCACAACAUUUAGCAUUUAGAAUAUUGAAAACAAAUUUGAUGUCUCUACCUUUAUGAUUCCAUCCAGA
rnacentral:lncRNA from 1 species